ACAAAUUUUAUUGAUCAAAGAAUAGGCAUAGCCAUAUACAUAAAUCUAAACAAAUCUAAACAAACAAACAAGAGCAUGCCCUUCACUACGUAGGCACAUUAUAGACAAGAAAAUCAUGAAGGUCCAUGCCAUUGAAGUCAACAACAAUGGCCCAAGUACAAAGUGUUCUAAAGAAUAAGUCUUUCAGCUCCUCCUACGAUCUCUCCUUGUCCUCAAAUGUCUUGUCAUUGCGCGCCUGCCAUAAACACCACAUAAUUCAUAUAGGGAACAUCUUCCAGACAACUUGAAUUUGUUGCAUGCCUCUUAGAUUUGUCCAGCUGUCCAACAUUUCCACCACUGUCUCUGGCAUAACCCAAGACAAGUCUAAUCUCCUGAACACCUCAUUCCAUAAUACCCAAGCUGUCUCACAAUGUAGUAGAAGGUGGUUUAUAGACUCUCCCCGAAUCCAAAAUGAUAAUACCACGUUUUCUCAAGUUAUCAUUGAGCAAAAUUUUCCAAAGCUAGGUUAGAUGGCUGUAGUGUGUGAUGAAGCAAUUGAUGGGAUGUAGUGCCCUGAAGAAAUUCAGGACCUACAAAAUACUGCCAGAAAAGCAUAAAAAAUGUUAAGACAACUUGAUAUAGGUUUUCUUUGGGCUGCUUGCCACUUUGCAAAAGCUAUUUCAGCUCAAACCCAUCGAGAAAUCCACUCAAUGAUCCUAAGAACAAUUGUGAAAGGUGCUGUGGGAAUUUUUUGAUGGGUAAGAUAGAGGUUUUUCUUCCAUAUGUUAUUUCUUUGGGCAUUGGCUAUUGUAUUGGAUGGGACCUGUUUUCAUGAUUUCUUUGUUGCUUUUUCUAGUUCUUAGUUUGUAAUUAGGUGUUUUCUCUUGUAUACUGCCUGUGUACUUGGGCUUUGCCUAUCUACGUGGUUUAAUAAAUUUCUUUUUACCAAUCAAAAAAGAAAGUAUGAAAAAUAUUGUCACAGUAGUACACAAGAGAUUGCCUAACAAACAAAAGG